CGAUGCUCUCCUCUCCCUGUGACUCUGUCUUCCGCUGGGGAGAGAGACCGGUUGUCGCCUCUCCCUGCAAUUUCCACUGCCGCUGGGGAGAGAGACAGGUUUUUUUUUUUUUUUCUCUCCCUGAAACUCACACUGCCGCUGGGGGGAGAGAGCGUUUUUUUCCUCUCCCUGAAACUCACACUGCCGCUGGGGAGAGAGGCCGGCUGCCUCCUCUCUCUGCAAUUUCUACUGCCACUUGGGAGAGAUACCGGUUGUCUCCCCUCCCUGAAACUCACACUGCUGCUGGGGAGAGGGGCCCAUACUCCUGGUUCAAGCUGCGCGGCACCCUCCAGUGAAACUCCUCCAAUUCGAACGCUGUCCAAAGACUAGCUGGUUCCAUAUCGCUCUGUAAUGAUUCCGGUGUCUGCAGGAUGCUGUUCCUCUUACUAGAAAGCCAUCCCACUGUUGCCACCAAU